UUUUUUUAAAUAUUAACCUCCAUAGCUAAACACUUCCCCCUCCACAAUCCCAACUCGAUUUCCCUCUUCUUUUUGUUCUUUAAUUUUUUUUCAACUCCCAUUACCGAAUCCCAUAACUGUAAUGAUUAAGAUGAUGCUCAGGAAAAAAUUCAUCAAGAUGAUGCUCAAAAAAUGAUUAAGAUGGAGCUGGUCUUCGAUCUCAGUUUUGAAACGAUCGCGGUAUUUUCACCUUCAUGGUUCGCUCUGUACAGCUGAAGACUUAGUGCAUGUGGUAUUUUUGUAAAUAUUUAUAUGUGGACUGUAUAAAUGUUUAAUGGGCCGGCCCAAAGUAUUUUUGUAAUUUUUUUUUCUUUUUUGUAUUUUUCUGUUUUUUUCCCUUAAUUAAAUAUUCAACAAGACUUCUUUUAGCAAUUAA